UGAAUGCAUUCAGAUGCAAGCCCAGCUCAGAGGACAAACCUUGGCUUUGAUAAACCAGCUGAUGGGCACUGGAUUAGAAAUGUUUCUGGUUUCCUUCCUCCAAGAACAAGUGAAAACUGCUGUCCAGAUGCCAGCAGAGAGGAGUCUGGACUGAGAGCUAUAAAGUGGCGUCCAUGUGACAAUCGUCAAAAAUGGCAUCAGAAUGGCUUGGAGGAUUCAAAUAAUUGAACGAAUAAGCUCCACACAGAAUCUCAACUGUAAUCCAGGUGGCAAAUUUCCAGAACAUCAGAUGCACUUCUCAGUGACAAGAAACCAGAAAGGACACUGGGCGGGGGCAGCCUGGGAGAUUCCAGAAAGGAGCUGCGCUUGAACGAAGAGGAAGGAGGCCUUGUACCAGACUUUCUAAUUGGGCUUUACCUGAAAAGUCUCCCUUCCGAAAUAUUGUAGCUCUUAGACCUGAACCAGCAUUGAACAACUUCGGCGUACAGUAAAUGGGGAUGAUUGAUUCUCCGUCUGAGCAAAACAGGAGCGUUCUUGAGUAAACAACUUGGCUUUGUGGAAACUUCUUUCUUUUUGUGUAGCUUUAUAAAAGUGUACAAUUCCGUGACUUUUACUGCAGUUACCAAGUCGUGCAGCUCUCACCAUAAACCCGUCCAGGACAUUCCCACCCUCCCAGCGAGGUCCCUCGUGCCCACUUACACUUCACCCCAGUUCCCAACCCCAGGCGGCCCCUCGUCCCCUUUCCAUCUCUCUACAUUUUCUGGACAUGUCACAUAAAUGGGAUCACACGACACACGGCUGCCGUGCCUGGCUUCUCUCACACGGUGUGAUGUGUCUCUGUUCGUUCACGCUGGGGCACGUGUCAGUGUUUCUUCAUUUUCACAGCUGAAGGGUGUUCCAUUGCGGGUGAACCGCAUUUCCCUCUGUCGCUUCCCCCGUCGUGGGAUGGACAUGGGGGCUGGUUCCCACUCUUUGCCUAUUAAGAACAACACUGCUCUGAACCUUCUUAGGCAUCUUUAUAAAAGGAAAUGUAACUAUAUCAAUGGUACUUAGAGAGCUGAAGGUUUGUCUUUGGGGACGCCUUUUACAAUAAGUAGUAUUUUAUUCAUUCUCAUCCAACGUUAUACACAAAUCAGGCUGUCUUGGCAAUGAUGAGCUUGAUGAUGGUUGCAGUGAAAGGGGUGACUGGUCUCUCUCCCGGGGGAGCAUCGUGGCGUCAGCAACAGGAAGCCAGGCGACGCUUCCCCUUCCCCCCAUUAUCGCUCAUCUCGGCCUCACCUGAGGCUCAUCGCCAGGAACUGCUUUUUUGGUUUGGGAGAUUUUUUAAAUAUAAAUCUAUAGUUGGGCUUCCCAGUGAACGUCCUCUUUUAAAAAGAAACUUCAUCUAGUUUUAGUGCAGUCUAUGGUCAAAUAUUGUGUCUUAGAGCUUUAAGAAGCAAGAUUCUGUGAAAUAACCGUACAGUUCAGUUCACUAUUGUGUUUGCUGAGCUUAAAACAAAUUUUCGGAAAUAUCAAGUGAAAUUCUGCAUUUGAGAAGGUGGAAAACAUGUUGCUUGGAGAAGUGAUUCAUCGACACCUUUCAAAUGUCCCCUCUGUCCAGUAGGCUCCUGCUGCCCUGCCUGUGGGUGGCCAGCGGUCCCCUUUGGCUCUGCUCCUGAACAAACCCCUCGUGUCGUUCUAAGGAGGUACCCCAGAAGCAGCCUGGGUUGGGGUUUAUGUGCAUUCGUGGGCUCCGUGAAGAGCACACUCCAGUGGGGACACUUCGCAGGUGAUGCCUAAGCCCUGAGCUCUCCCUGGUGGCACUGGUUCCAGAAGGAGGAAAGCUGACGGGAUGUUCGUUUCACAUCUCAUUUCCGACUGCAGAGAAAGAAGUCAGAUCGAUCAGGACUCUUAGAUACUGACUGAGGUCUCAUCUCCAAAUUGCUUGGCAGUCAGUUUCACAAAAGUAAUUUCAUAAGACUUUCCACCUUCUGCCUUGAACUGCACAUUACUUUUAUAGAUGGUUUUGAUGGCUGAUCUUGUAUUAACUCAUGUCCUUUGGUGACAGACCAGAACCUAAAUAAAG